UAACCGAAAUUUAACCUACCUAUAUAUAUCUCUUAAACCUAAAACGUAAUCAGUUUCUCUUUGGCUUCCUCAAACUCUAGCCGCUGCUUCUCGGAUUCUCAACCCUAACAACAUCGUCUUCUUCGUUUGAUUCUCACAUCUUUCCGAGCACGAGAGUAAAACAAUGAUGCCUUACUUGGAUAUUGCAUUGAAUUAGGAGCAAACGAUGUUGGAAGAAAAAAAAAUCGACUUUCUUUUUCAUUGUGUUGAGAAAAUGCAAAUUUCAGGAGAAUCUCAUCAUUAGAAUUAGAGGUUGGUGGAGUUCAAGCGUAAUUGUGACAUUUAGUUUUCUAUUGUUUUGUUUGGUCACUUUGUGAUUUGUUGGACAUUAUGAUUUGUUGGACAUUAUAAGAUAUGAGUCAUAGAUUUAUAAA